rnacentral:lncRNA from 11 species
GAGAUGGAGCACUACUAAUAGAGACUAAGUACAUUAUGUUACUUGAGGUUGGGGUUUGGCACCUGAGGUUGAAUGCUGAGCUGGAGUUGCUGGAGCUGAUUUGUCCAAGUUGGAGUUGCCAGAGGUGUAUUAUUGCUGCAACGUCUGAAGAACAAGACUGUGGCAUCUUGCUGAAGAUAAGGACUUUACUGUUUACAUCAUGUGGAAGCAACUGAAAAGAUCCAAGGACUCUGCUGUAUUUGACAGCUGGGAGGAGGUCAGAACCACUUCACUUGAACAAGUAGCGUGGAAGAUGCCUUCAAUUGAUGUUUUCUGCAGAAGAUUUAUUCUGCCAAUCCAAUAUAAACUGGGUGAUUGUACACCAGCGGUUUCUCUAAGGUGUUAUGCAGUCUCAGGAACUAUAAUUUACAUUCUAAAACUAAUAACUGGAACCUGUUGGCACUAUCCUGCCAUGCAUGUCCAGUAAAAGCAAGGCAAAUCUGGCAAGAGGCAACAUACAAUCUUUUUCUGAAACACAAAUUCUUAUCACACUCUUCUAAAAAUAUUCCCAAUACACGAAUGAAUAAUUUGUCAUGAUGUGAGAAGGAUAUUGUUGAAAUGAAAGUGUUGUGUCUGUUGGAGAGGAAAAUAUUUGAUAACUUUCUGAGGGUUGACAUGCGGCAUAUUUGCAGCCUUCUGGACUCUAUUACAUUCUAUCCCACUUCCACAACUGUAAAAAUAAAAUUUAUACCUGACACUUUAAUACCAGUUGGUACUGCAUCUGAAGAAGUGGGUAUAAUAUACUCACAAGUUUAUGCUAAAAUAAAAACAAGUUACUCUUAAAUAUGCUUCCAUGUCUCAUUCCCCUCUUCUG